CACAGCGAGGCAGCAGCCAGCAGUGGACGGCCCAGCUCAGCUCGGGGCUGGCUCUGUCGGACUCAGAUGGAGCCUCAGCCAGGCCCCCAGGUCCAGGCCCUGGGUGUGCAGGGAGACCGCUGGACCCGGCCAGGGCCUGCCAGCCAGCCAGCAGCAGGACCCCAAAAAGUCCUCCAGAUGGCCCUUGGGCCUCCAGGGGAUUCGGGCUGCACUUCCGUGCCUCGAAGGCGAGCACCCCUGCAGGUGUGUGUCUACGGGCGUGAGCAGGGGGCCAUGCACACGAGUGUGGAUGUGUGUGCUCGAGAGCCCAUCACAAGACUGGAUGCUCGCAGGUGACAUUUGCACGCAUAUCAGUUGGGGUGUUGGUAGCGUGUGUUUGUGCAGUGGCCUGUCCAUCUGUUACGUGUGUGCCCUUGCACAGAUGACACACAUUUGGGCUCUUGCCUGUGUUAUGUGGAUACACGCGUGUACCUGGGCGUGCGGCAGCGAGGCCCUUGUGGGUGGCACUGCUGGGUGUCCGCCCACUUGCCGUGGGCGGGUCGCGUCCCGUCUCAGCGCCUCUGUUUCUGCGUCUGAGAAAUGGGGACGAUGACAGUGGCGCCCCACGGGGAGGAGCAAUGAGGGCUCACGGGCCAACAGACGUGCGUGCCUAGGGGGCGCGGCCCUGGACAGAAAGGCCAGCCACGAUGUCAGCCACGCAGGUGGUUCUAGAUUUCAUAGAGCUCCAUUUUACAAAGUAAAAAGAAAAAUGAAAUUAAUUUUUAUAUUUUAUUUAACCCAGUGUAUCUAAAAUGUUACUUACUGUUCCAGCCUACAACGAUCAAGGUAAGAAAUGCUCAACGGGGUCGCCCAGAUCCCGCCCCUCGCACGAAGCAGCCGCGCGCGCGUCCUUCGCGGGCCCGUGUCCCCGCGGGCGCCCGCACACACGCCCCGCCCCGAGAGCGCGCGGGCCGGCGCAGUGCACGGGCCGCUCCUGCCCUCUGUCGGCGGCCGGCGGCAGCGCAGCGCGCUCCCGGGCCGGCGGUUCGGCCCCUGGCACCGCGCGCCCGCUGCCCACCGCCGGGCAUCACCGGACCAAGACGUUUCCCACAGCGGGCUGCAAGGCAGGCAAGCCGACCCCGUUGUAAAGACGGCAGGGCAGAGGCUCAGAGAUGGCCAGUGACCUGCCCAGGGGCACACAGCAGGACCACAGGGAGGGACACCAGCUGAGGUUGGGACCCAGGUGUUAAGCACACUUCUGUGAGUCCCACUGGCUUCAAACCCUGGCUCUGCCCCUCAUUGCUGUGUGCCCUGAGACAGGUGACACCUCUCUGGAUCUCAUAAUUCUCAGGGUAAACUUGGGAUGACAGUAAUCCCUCUUCUUAGGAAGAUGUCACUGUUUUCAGCGCAUUCCUGGCACAUAGUAAGUAACCAAUAAAUUCAUCACAGCCACAGCUUCAUAAUGUGACAUGCCUACCUCAGGGCCUUUGCACCUGCUCAGCCCUCUGCCUGGAACCCCUUGCCCUGAUCUUGGAUUGGCUGGCUCCUCCUCAUCCUUAGUCUCAGUUCAAACUCGCCUCCUGAGAGAAUCCCUCCCUGAUCAACCCCUCUCUUCUUGCCACCUUGCUUUAUGCCCUCAGAGUCCUUAUCCCCACCCGAUGUGGUUCUGGUGCUCAUGGGGUUUCUUGUUUCUUCUCUGCUUCCUCCAUCGACCUGGCAGUCCCAGGAGAGCAGGACCUUGCUUGUCUUGGCCACUCGGGUCCCUGGUCUGGCACAGGGCCUGAUAGGAAUGCGUUGACAGAAAGAAUAAAAACGCCGAGUCGAGUGGGACUGCGGACUGGUACAGCCACGCUGGACGACGGUUUGCAGCUUUAUUCAUCAUCACCAAAAACUGGAAACAACCCAAACGUCCCUCAGCUGGUGACGAGAUAAACACAGUGGCACAUCCAUGCAGUGACAGAAGGAGCCCAAAGAGAUGCGCACGCGACGUGGGCGAGUCCCAAAGGCAUGUUGCCUGGGAAAGGAGCCUUGCUUGAAAGGCUACACGCAGCCUGAUGCCAUUUAUGUGAUAUCGAGAUGACGCAGAACUAUGGGGACAGGACACAGACCGGCGGUUGGCGGGAGCGGGGUGUGAGGGGCUGCUGUAAGGGGAUAGGGAUCUGGCAGGUGCAACUCUUCUGUAUUUUGACUGGGGUGGGGGUUACACAACUGUGUGUGUUUUUCAAAACAUAGAACUAUACGUUUAUUUUUACUGUUACUGUGUGCAAGAAACAAGUAACAAUGAAAAAAAAGUUGUAAACUUUCAGAAUCACGGAGCAGAGCGACUGGGUCCCACCAGCCCUCUGGGCAGAGACGAGGGCAGGUGAGAAGUCCUGCAGCCGAGCUUUGACCUCCCCAAACCGGGAAAUGAGGUUGGGCCUGUCCCCCGCCUCCUAGAGCAGGGCCACUUCCACAGCCAUCGGCCCGGCAGAGACUGUUCUGGUCCAUGUGAAGACGGGGCGGGCAGGGCCGGGACUGCAGAUGGGCGGCACCGAUAGUCUGGGGGCUCCGCGG
rnacentral:lncRNA from 1 species